CACCGCGGUUAUACGAGAGACCCAAGUUGACAGACAAUCGGCGUAAAGAGUGGUUAAGUACUAUACUUAACUAAAGCCAAACACCUUCAAAGCUGUUAUACGCACCCGAAGGUCAGAAGCCCAAUCACGAAAGUAGCUUUAAACUAACUGAACCCACGAAAGCUAGGGCA
rnacentral:rRNA from 1 species